rnacentral:rRNA from 1 species
UAAGGAGGGCGCAAGCGUUGUUCGGAAUCAUUGGGCGUAAAGCGCGUGUAGGCGGUCUGGUCAGUCGGGUGUGAAAUACCGGAGCUCAACUCCGGAACUGCAUUCGAUACUGCCAGGCUAGAGUCCCGGAGAGGGUGGUGGAAUUCCCGGUGUAGAGGUGAAAUUCGUAGAUAUCGGGAGGAACACCGGCGGCGAAGGCGGCCACCUGGACGGUGUCUGACGAUGAGACGCGAAAGCGUGGGGAGCAAACAGG